rnacentral:rRNA from 1 species
UAUCAAAAACAUCGCCUGCAGCUAAUUUCCCAGGUAGAGCCUGCCCACUGAUAAUUUAAAUGGCCGCAGUAUCUUGACUGUGCAAAGGUAGCAUAAUCACUUGUCCCCUAAUUAGGGGCUAGUAUGAAUGGCUUGACGAGGUGGAAGCUGUGUCGUGCGUAACUAUUUAACUUAAUCUUUAAGUCAAAAAGCUUAAAUUAUCCCGCAGGACGAGAAGACCCCGUAGAUCUUUAUAUAGAAAAAUUAAUUUAUUUUAGAAGAUCUUCUAGUUAAAAUUUAAUAUAUUUAGUUGGGGUGACACGAAGCCAUAAACUCUUCUUAAUUACACUUCUAUAAAAGGCUAAAUGACCCGGCACCCGAUCAAAAGUUUAAGUUACCUUGGGGAUAACAGCGUAAUCUACCCUAAGAGUUCUUAUCAAAUGGUAGGUUUGCGACCUCGAUGUUGGAUUAAGAUUCUCUAUGUGAGCAGCCCCACAGUAGAGAGGUCUGUUCGACCUACAAAUUCUUACAUGAUCUGAGU